GACGUCGGGGGCGAGCGUUGUCCGGAAUCAUUGGGCGUAAAGGGCGCUUAGGCGGUUUGGAAGGUCUAAGUAGGAACCGGAGGGCUCAAGCUAACGGGAGCGAAGAAACCGACAAACUGGAGUGAAGGAGAGGUAAGUGGAAUUCCCGGAGGAGCGGUGGAAUGCGUAGAGAUCGGGAGGAACACCGGUGGCGAAAGCGACUUACGGGACUUCAAAUGACGAUGAGGCGCGAGAGCGUGGGGAGCAAACAGG
rnacentral:rRNA from 1 species